rnacentral:rRNA from 1 species
AGCGAACGCUGGCGGAAUGCUUAACACAUGCAAGUCGCACGGGGCUUCGGCCUUAGUGGCGGACGGGUGAGUAACGCGUAGGAAUGUGUCCGAGGGUGGGGAUAACGUUGGGAAACUGACGCUAAUACCGCAUAUCCCCUGAGGGGGAAAGCAGAGAUGCGCCCACGGAGCAGCCUGCGUCCGAUUAGCUAGUUGGUUAGGUAAAGGCUGACCAAGGCGACGAUCGGUAGCUGGUCUGAGAGGAUGAUCAGCCACACUGGAACUGAGACACGGUCCAGACUCCUACGGGAGGCAGCAGUGGGGAAUAUUGGACAAUGGGCGCAAGCCUGAUCCAGCAAUUCCGCGUGGGUGAAGAAGGUCUUCGGAUUGUAAAGCCCUUCGUUGGGACGAUGAUGACGGUACCCAAAGAAGAAGCCCCGGCUAACUUCGUG